rnacentral:rRNA from 1 species
GACGAACCGUGCGAACGUUGUUCGGAAUAACUGGGCAUAAAGGGCGCGUAGGCGGGCCCGAAAGUCAGGGGUGAAAUCCCACGGCUCAACCGUGGAAGCGCCUUUGAUACUGCGGGCCUGGAGGGAGGCAGGGGAGUGCGGAACUUCCGGUGGAGCGGUGAAAUGCGUAGAUAUCGGAAGGAACACCGGUGGCGAAAGCGGCGCUCUGGACCUCUACUGACGCUGAGGCGCGAAAGCCAGGGGAGCGAACGGG